rnacentral:lncRNA from 1 species
GCUGAAGCAAAUACUUCUAUCUGCCCUUUGUUGCACAUUUUGCAUGCCUGCCUGUUCCUCUACUGCUGCUGCUCGGUCUGUUUCUCUCUAAUCUACGCCUCAAACACUUCCCCUACCCAAUUCCAGGAGCUAACACAAAUGUAAAAUGUAAAUUGUGGCCUAGAUUGCUGCUACCGGAGUGUGGAGAGAGAUGCCAGAUUCUGUAAUAGCCUAGAUGUGUCGGGGAUCAACUUCCAGGUCCUUGCAUAUUGACAAACUCUUCUUGUAUCCAUCACUUGGGUUUCCUAUCGAGUUGUCUUCUUGGGCCAAUUAUGUACAUUUCCCAUGUGUUUUUCUUGGCAUACAGAGAACUCUAUAUUUGAGACCGUGAAGCCAACUUACUUCACAUUGAAACUUCCUUCUCUUUCACUUCCCUAUGAUAAAGCCUGAAGGAUAAUUCUGCCAAUAUUUUCUUCCAGCAAUAAUCAACUAUCUUACUAUCUGUAGUAAGUAGCUACUACAAAAUGUUAUGGCACAAUUGACAAUGACAUUAUACUACACAAACUUUCACCUCUGUCCUCAAGACAUUUUUACCAAAGAAGGGUUUUGAUUAUUCUGAACUCUAAGACUACUUCAAGACAAAAAGGAGGGAAGAACAUGUGCCAAGACACAGAUGUGCAGACCCAGUGCUGCCGGGAGGAUGGGGACAAGGAAGACAUCAAUGUGGUGAAUGAUGACUCAGGUUAGGGAUGGCAGGAGAGGAACUGAAAAGAAAGAUUGUGUUCUAACGAUGCAGUAAAGAAUCUGGAUCUCACCCAGUAAGCAGCAGAAAAGGCUCAAAGGACAUUUUUUCUCCAGAGACAUUAUCCAUUGGUUUUUUUAGGGAAAACAAAAUAACACCUGGUCAUGCUAUAGAGCAUUAACUGGGGAAGAGAGAAUGAGUGAGAGAAACACUGUUGCAACUAUCAGAGCAAGAGAUGAUGGGACCUAGUUUAGGGCAGUGAGAGUGUGUGCGUGGAGUGGAGGGGGCUCAUUUUGGAAAUCUUUCUGAGGCAUAGGCAAUGGUACUUAGUGUUCCACUGAUACUAUGGGUAAAGGAUGAGGGGUCAAAGUGGAGAGUGACUUCCUUAACCAAAGGAGGACAAGAAAAAGAAGCGAUGUUGCCGAAUGACAUUUACAAAAGUGUAUUUUCUAGUUGCAAGGAGUCUGAGAUACCUACGGAUUCUCCAAACAGGAUACCUAUAGACAGCUGAAAAUACAAGACUGGUUUUACACAGCAAUGUCAGAGCUGAAGAGACAGGUGAUAAUCACAGGCAUGAAUGUAUUGAAGUUACUGAGGGACUACAAAGUGAACAUAACUGGGAACAGCACCAUCAAAACGAUCAGCAUUUAAAGAGCAGGGAGUGGGAAGAGCCAAUGAUUGAAGCUGAGACUAAACUAACUGAAGAGAAAAUCAAGGCACAAUUCUUGCUAUAAUAUCCGAAGAGGGAACUUGCGGCAGACGGACUGGAGGGUGGGAUUUGCAUUCCUGUUUGGAGUCAGGAUUUCCAUGGUCUACACCUCAUGUGUUGCAUGUAGACGUUCAAGGUAUUUUUAUUGUGAUAUGUCAGCACACAGAAUUGGAAGGCAUGUCACAAGGUCAGGAGUUCGAGUUCUGUUGAUAGUCUCAGACCUCUUCCAACUUCAACAAGGUCAACAAGAUAAACCACAAACCUGGAUGAGUUCAUGUUAUUCCAGAUGCAUUAUCUCCUAAUCUUCAGGAAGAGGCUCCUUCAGCGGGAAGGAGCAUGGCAGGAUCUUCCCUGAAAAAACAGAAAUAGCCGUGUCUAAUCCCUGCUCUGCCUGGAAAGGAAAAGGCUCACCUACUUCCCAUGUCAAGGGUUAGAAGCAAACUGAAGAAGAAGAAUAAAAACUAUGUAAAGGCCUUUCCC